rnacentral:lncRNA from 7 species
ACACUGUAGCCCAUGGAUAAAGAUCACAGGAUUGCUAAGCUUAAGGAUAAGCAGUUUCAGGCAUGAGGUAGUGGCAGUCCUAUUUCAGUAGGACUUCAUACCUAGCAAAUUCAGCAUGCUGAUAGAAGGUGCAUUGAAAACUGUUGCUGUCAACAAGCCUGACAGAACACACCAAACUUACUGCAGCUGGGAAGGCAGUGCUCAAACUUCUCCUUAAUCUCCUACUAAGUGCACUGUGUGCAUCUGACUUUCCCAAAGGCUUGUAAAAGACUAUUCAUGAAACUUUGUGUCAGAUGCUGCACACGAGUUCUCUGGUUUUACAGAACUAUCACCAUUUGGUUUCUUCAAAGGCCCUAAAGCUCCUGGAAGCUAUUUCCAUUUAUUCUGGUUGUUGACAGGGACUGCUGGACCUCAGAGACCCGCUAUAUAACACAUUAUGCUAACAAAGGCUGUUGUCAUGCGUAGAGCAAUCUGCAGGGUGCCGGAUUGAUUUGCUUUUAGGCACUUAUGGAAAACCCUGCAUCUCUUGGGACAUUCACUGAUAAAUAUAAGGAUUAAAGAGUAUCCUGGUGAGCUAUGAACAAUGGUAUAGCACUCUCAGACUUCAGCGCAACCUCCAGUUAGAAAAACACUGAUGACAAAGACAUGACUGUUCCUGAGGAAGAGGCUAUGAAAUCUAAAAUGAAUGUUUUAAAGAAUGGGUUAGACAUAACAUGGUCUCAUUCCAGAUUGGUAUAACAGAUUUAAGCAUGGGGAUUUAACCAAGUGGGUGGAACGGUGAACCUGCAAAAGGGCCUUCUGUGUUGAAACGCAGUUCAUAAUUUUCCACUGCAAAACAACCACACAGAUGUUUCCUAUCACUUUUUGAACUUGAUAUGUUUUCAGAAGCGUGGCUGUCCAAGAAAGCUACGCGUGUGUAUUGAAGGCUGCACCUUAACUAAUUUACCCAAUGUCGUCUUUAUGACAUCUCUCUGCACCUGAUUUUUGCUGAGUUUCUAUGACCAUUUUAUAUACACCUUCCUUGAAGGACCUUGAAAAUCGAGUCUUCUAAAUUACUGUGCACUGAGAUUUUUCUUAAACUUACUCUUGCAUCUUCAUGUUAAAGAAUACAGCACUUACUUUUAUUCUCCAUUAUAAAAAUACAAAGCUGUGUGUUGUUAACUACUUGUACUGAAACUAUGGAAAUAGUUACUGUUAAUUAGUCGCGCCUCUUUUCAGACUACAUUUGGAAUGUGUAUUCUGUUGCAUAGCUUUAUUCAAUGUACAAACAAUUUCCUAAUACCUCCUGAAGCAUUCAUUCCACCAUGCAAUCUCUCAGGUAGU